AUUGAACGCUGGCGGCGGGCCUAACACAUGCAAGUCGAACGAGUGGCGGACGGGUGAGUAAUGUCUGGGAAACUGCCCGAUGGAGGGGGAUAACUACUGGAAACGGUAGCUAAUACCGCAUACCAUCGGAUGUGCCCAGAUGGGAUUAGCUAGUAGGGGGGGUAACGGCUCACCUAGGCGACGAUCCCUAGCUGGUCUGAGAGGAUGACCAGCCACACUGGAACGGAGACACGGUCCAGACUCCUACGGGAGGCAGAGGUGGGGAAUAUUGGACAAGGGGGACAAGCCUGAUGCAGCCAUGCCGCGUGUAUGAAGAAGGCUUUCGGGUGGUAAAGUACUUUCAGCGGGGAGGCGUUACCCGCAGAAGAAGCACCGGCUAACUCCGUGCCAGCAGCCGCGGUAAUUC
rnacentral:rRNA from 1 species